rnacentral:rRNA from 1 species
UACAGAGGGUGCGAGCGUUGUCCGGAAUCACUGGGCGUAAAGGGCGCGUAGGUGGUGGCUUAAGCGUGCGGUGAAAGCUCGGGGCUCAACCCCGAGUCGGCCGUGCGAACUGGGCUCACUGGAGCAUAGUAGAGGCAGGUGGAAUUCCGGGUGUAGCGGUGGAAUACGUAGAGAUCCGGAAGAACACCGGUGGCGAAGGCGGCUUCCUGGACCGACACUGACGCUGAGGCGCGAAAGCUAGGGGAGCAAACGGG